CCACUGCAUGAGACUGCACCUACUCAUCACUGCGCUGACAUUCUGGCAGAAGAGCUGGUACACUGAUGACAGUAGCCUCGAGGUUAAAGCCUUUGUUCUCUAGGCUCAAGGUGCUCCAGUGAGUGAGACAGCGAGUGAAAAAGCAGCUCCAGAAGGCCUAUUCAAGAGAAGAAGACCUGCUACAUUAGAUGUCUCCACGCAGAAAACCUUGAGACUCUGGUGGAAAGGCCCUUAUCUUGUACUCUUGAUGACCCUACUUUCUACUUUUAUGGGACCCCUUUUGAUUUUGCUUCUGCUUUUAAUUAUAGGUCCAUGUGUGUUAAAUAGGCAAGUCACCUUUAUUAAAACAAAAAUUAGUACAGUGCGGCUUUUAGUUUUAAGACAACAGUACCAUGCCCUAAAGUAAAGGAUCAAGUAUGUCAGGAAAAAAA